AACAUAAGCAUUGAUCAUGACUUCUUCGAGCAGUGAAUCAAAAUCCCUCUUUUUCGUGGACAAGUCCAAGGAUGGAAUCGUCUCUCACCUUUCUGACGUAUAAGGGUUCCGUUCCAUACCCGAAGCAAAAGAAGUAGAGGAAACUAUAUUUCAUGUUUUCCAGAAAGAAAGUUCUUAUGUACUCUGAUGUUGGCUUCAUUUAUGCGGGUCAUUUCUUUACUGAGCCAGACUACAAUAGGCUACAAUUGCUACAAGGGGAGAGGCCAUCCAUGGUUGAAGAAGGGCAAUGGAUAUACCAUACACACCUACCUAAAUGAGCAAAGGAAGAUUGAUGUGACAAUUAGCAGGGAGCUGCUAUAGGAUUCUAUACAAUGAAGUGCUUCCACUACUUCAACAACAAAAUAAAGGAGGUGGGAACAAAGAUUGCUACAGAACCGAGGAAAUCUGAUUAUUCAGGAGCUGAAUAUGGUCAUUAAGUCUUCAUGCUCAACAAAUCACCCAACUCUGUAAACCAGAAUUGUAGGAAGAGAUGGUUUCAAAUAUGUUAAUGAGAUAUGAGUACAUUUGCUGUUUUAUGUAGGAUCUUGGUAUUCGUAGGUAUUUGUAUAUUUUUUUUAAUUCAUUUUUUGUGAUAUUUUUACGUUAGACACAAAAAUGAACCUUUGAUG